rnacentral:lncRNA from 10 species
CUGGGAACGCAGCUUGGAGGCAGUUUCAGAUGGUCCCCGACAGGAGAGGCGAGCAAAGAAAUUCAGUCAUCCGGAAAGCAGAACGCGAAAGCCAGUGUGGCCGGACCUAUUAUUUCCCUGCAAGGUGGCGUGAGUCGGGAGGAUGGAAUGGGGAAGAAUCCUGAUGCUGCUCAGAGCGCGAAGGGGGAAAUGCCAACUUGGAUUACUGACUGAGAACACCGCGUGAAAGGCCAGGCCUCCCUGAUUACCCGGGCAGGCGCCGGCUUCGCGCUCCAGCCUGGAGAGGUGUCAACCGCGUGAGAGAUGCUCGGCCUCCCGGGAUCCAAAUUGGAGAUGGAAUCAGAGAUGGAAGGGGGAAAGGAGGAGGAUCCUUGAAACACCUGCACGCCCACGGUCCCACUCCUUCUCCUCCUCGGCCCCGCAUCUCACCGAACUGACCCCAGGCCAUUCUUCAGAUGUCCCAGCAGCUUUUGGAUCGCAGAGCUUCAGCGGUAGUUAGCUCAUCGUGAAUUCUCUUUUUACUUGGUUAUCUUUGCUUUUACUUUUCAAGGCUGUAACUAUAUAAGCAUUCGGUUUUCUGCAUAUUCACUUUCUUACAAAACAAAAGUUACAUAUUUCUUAGGAAAUAAAAGAACCCAGGAUCCACAGUUCCUCCCAAUGGAAACAUAUUUUUAAGGCUCGACUUUGGGGGCAGCUGUUUAGAUUCGUGUUACCUGGCAGACUCUACUUACUGCACAUGGAAGUCCAGCCGUGCAAGAAAUCAAGAGGCAACAUGUUAAAGUUAUUUCCAAAGGACACAUCUCCUAGAGUAGCCUGUUUGGACUGCAGCUGGCUUUUUAAAUAUUCAAUACGGAGUGUAUAUCUUCUCUGAUAGAUCUUGUCGAAUUGUACAGCAGGUUGUGUCACCAAUGUUUAUCUCCAUUUCUUUCUAUUGAUUCCAUUAUCACCUUCUCUUUGUUUCCAUCUGCACUCAAAUCGUCGAUUCCACUUACAGUCCUUUUUGCUCCAUAACUAAAGGCAUACGUGGAGACGUUAAACAAUGGAGCAAAGAACCAAAACCUUUCACCUAUCUUAUUUGAUGUAGAAAGGAUUAAAUAAAGGUGCUGAAGUCCACGUAAAAUGGAAACAGGAAGCCUUAAAAUAUGGAGAGAGCUGGGGGCUGGUUUCCAUGGCAGCAGCUUGCAAUAAAGCCUAAUGCCAAGUGACAAAGAGGUCAUCUUCGUUUUCAAACGUGUUUAUGAUCCCUUUGUGUAUUGUAUGUUGGCAUAAAAGCUUCUCCGCAGGGUCAGGGCUCCGCGGGCAGCUCUAUGACUCUCAAGGGGGUUUAUUGCCUCCUUGGCAUAAGAAUAGCCAAAAGAAGCCAAACUAGUGCCAGUGUGACAAAAGAGUAACCCCACAGGCUUGCCAUUGCUUUCUUUCCAUUUCUUUUUUUUUUUUGCAGUACAUAAAUCUUGCUAUGCAUUGAAGUAAUCAAACACGAAGGAUUCUGAGAUAAGUUUAGUUUAAUCUUGUUUUUUUUUUCAAACUUUUACAUCUACUGAAACAUCAUAUAUAAACCAAUACAAGAAGGUGGAUUCAAUAUGAGGAAGGUUGAUUCAAUAUGAUUUAUUUAUUUUUGCCUUACUUUCCAGAUAAUCUUGGGAAAGAACUCAAGUGAGAUAAAACGUUGAACAUACCUGUGAAACUAAAGGAAAGACUAGCUGUAAAUUUCAG